UGUGGUAGCAUAAUCACUAGGUUUUUAAUUUGAAUUUUGUAUGAAUGAUUGAACAAGAGAAAAAAGGUCUUUAUAUUAAAGUUUGAAUUUUUCUUUUAUGUGAAAAGGGUUAAAUAUUCUAAAGGGUCGAUAAGACCCUAUAAAACUUUACAUUAGUUGUUAAUAUUUUAUUUAAUUUUGUUGUAUUACGAUUUAAAUUUAAUUUUUUGUUAUGUUGGGGAGACAAAAGCUAUAAUUUAUAUUAACUGCUUGAAGAGAAAUCAAUAAAUUAGUGACUAGAUUGUUAUAGAUCCUUUCUAAAGAUUAAAAGAUUAAGUUACUUUAGGGAUAACAGCGUUAUUUUUUUUGAGAGUUCAUAUCG
rnacentral:rRNA from 1 species